GGUCGCGUGGCCCAAUGGCAAGGCGUCUGACUACGACUUCUGGCUCUUCGCAGUUCAUCGCGGAGUUCCGAGGUAAUCAGGAGAUUGCGGGUUCGAUCCCCGUCGUGACCU
rfam:Trichosporon asahii var. asahii CBS 8904 unplaced genomic scaffold scaffold00066, whole genome shotgun sequence.